CAAAUAAAGGGUACAUCUUAAUUUGAAAAUUUUAGUUCUUCAUGAAGAGAAUCAUCCAUAAGACAUCUCAAUCCAGAAAAGUAGCAUUUUGCCAUCAUGAUAACCUUUCCACUUCCAAUAUUACACACAUGUCAGUAUCAUUUUAACAUUAAAAACAUCCCAACAAAUAUCCAGUAGCAUUUGCUGGCGCAAUGAGUCACUCACCUUCUCUUUUAACAUCUAACUUCCAAAAGAUAUCCGUCUCUUCCUCACUUUCCUACCCUCUUCACGUACCAGAUUAAAAGGGGAAGGGGGAAAAUAGUAUUUCAUGAAUUCAUUAUUCCAAAUAUUGACCUACAUAUUGACAGUUCUGAAGAUGUAGUAUAGUAUGCCUAAACAAGAAUCAUAAAUUCUUCACUUAUCUGAGUUCAUUCCACAUUUUUUCACCUGUUAUGUAGCUUAAAUCAUGUUUCACUCUCAUUUCUAGACCUUUAUUUGCCUUCCCUUGAUAACUCCACUUUCUUUUCACGGUAACUUCUUUUCUAUUGUAUGCUAUCAUUUAUAACUCACAGUAACAGCAGACACAUCAAAUCCAGAAACACGAAACAUUCUCGAAUCAAUAAGUAGCAUUAGAAACCAAAAGACAAAACAAAACUUGCAACACUUCACUUCGCACACACUUAUUGGAUACAUCCAUCGAUAUUGGACAGGUCCUCCAAGCUUGGCAUCUUCUACUAAAUGCACAAUCAAAUGAACCAUCACUGUGAAGAAAGAAGGAGGGAAUAACAUCUCCAUGUGACACAAUGUGAGGACAACUUUAUCUUGUAAUUGGACAAGUUCAUCUAUCUUCAAAACUUUAUUACAUAAUUGUUUAAAAAAAGAGCAUAGAUCAAUCAAAAUAGACGAGACUUCUUU
rnacentral:lncRNA from 1 species